rnacentral:rRNA from 1 species
GUUGUUUUCUUUAGUACGAAAGGACCAAGAAAACAGGACCAAUGCUAUCAGCACAUCCUAAACACAAGGCUGAACACAACUAAAGCCAAACAACACGCACUUACAGCCCAGAGACAAUGGGCUU